UACAGAGGGGGCAAGCGUUAUUCGGAAUUAUUGGGCGUAAAGGGCGCGUAGGCGGCCUUGCAAGUGGCGGGUGAAAUCCCGCGGCUUAACCGAGGAACUGCCUGCCAGACUGCAAGGCUCGAGACCGGGAGAGGUGAGUGGAAUUCCCAGUGUAGCGGUGAAAUGCGUAGAUAUUGGGAGGAACACCAGUGGCGAAGGCGGCUCACUGGACCGGAACUGACGCUGAGGCGCGAAAGCGUGGGGAUCAAACAGG
rnacentral:rRNA from 1 species